ACUCAUCAGCGUGUCUAUGGCAUUUAUAACAUUCACACUCCAUCCCCGUGGAUUUCGUUGACUUUCAAAAGGCCCGACGUAAUCUGUUAUGCGAUGUGCUGAAUGGUAGACCGUAAGAUUUGCACAGAGUAGUUUCUGAACGACAAUCACAGGUGGAACAUUGAUCUUCUUCACUUUUUAUUCUAAUAUCAAGGGAAAUCAUCAUUCGUGACACUGUCUGGACUAUAUAUGAAAGUAGAUGACAUCAGCUAGGAAGUUAGCCUCAAUUUAUCAAUCAAAAGAGCAUCGCCGUACAUCCAUCUCUAUGCUUAAUCCUCUGAAUCCUCUGAACAAGAACUGAAUUGAUAUACAUACAUCUACGGUCUGGGGAGAGAUCUUGAGAAUGAUAUCGGUUGUCGGUGUGAGACGUUGUUUAUGUAUAAAACGUGGUGUUCUGGUUAAAUUCCGUCGCGAGAGGGUGUGUGUUUUGUGUUAUGUUUCACUGGAUAAUUGAAAUCUACAGCCACGUCAAUCUCCAAAAUAUAUGAGAAGGUGCUCAUGUGUGUUCUGGAAAAGGUGUGCAUUCCUUUCAUCGCUGAGCUAAUUCGAAUUUGAACUUCAGUUUCAGAACCAUAGCUCUUUGGUAAACGGUAACGACAUAAUUAUUUGAGAUAACCUUGGACAGAAAUGUGCGUAAUAAACUAUCAACAUUUUCUCGUAUGUUAAUGUUCAUUUCACAAUUAUUCUAUAUCUGAGUUUGCUGAGGAAUACAAUCACCAUAUUUGUAUUAAACGGGUCUAUAUAUCAGAUAUAUUUUAAGUUAUUGGUUGAAUGGUACCAUAUCUGAAUAGCGGUUAAUAUUUUAAGUUAUUGGCUUAAUGGUACCUUAUCUGAAUAGUGACUAAUAUUUUAACUUAUUGGCUGAAUGGUACCAUAUUUGAAUAGUGGCUAAUAUCUCAAUAUUAUUUACCGCUCUACUAGCACAAGAAAACUAAACUUGCUUGCAUGAUAAGGAACAUAAUAAAUCCUCAUAAUCUAUACAGGAUAUAAUGUAUUAUGAAAUGAAAUGGAAAUGAAAUGAAAUGGGGUUUAACGUCCUACUGUUCUGCUCCUAAACUGGGCUAAUGAUAAUCAUAUAUAGGGUUAUGUGUGUUGUCAUAAAUAAAGUUAUUGUCUUUUAUACCUAUUAUGAUUGAGUUUUUGCGUGACCGACUAGUCUCGAGGGAAAUUUCUUUAUACAGACAACCGAUACAUCAAUAUGGAAUGUAUUGGAUACAUAUUUGACUUUUUCGGCUAAGAUCUGAGCACAUACUGACAAAAAAACAGUAAUAAGAGAUAGACUUGGUGGAAAACGGAGGAGCAGGCUGACCCAACAGAACUAGUUUAGGAUAACUUGAAUGGAAUAUUAUUGUCAUAAUUUAUGAAACCAUAUAAUAGUUUAUAGUCAGAUAAAUAAAUAUGUUUGUUACAUGUAACACUAAAGACAAUGCUCCAGUGAUAAAACGUAUAAGGCGUUCCGGGAAGAUUAAGCAUACCCUGUCCUGCACAUGGCAUCUUCAACAACUAUUAGCGAUAUUAUAUGUUGAUGCAAAAGUGACCCGCGUUUACUGCAUACAGUACUGGGCCCUUAUUCACGAAAACUUAAACUAAGUUA